UGGAGGUGACUGGAUGGUGGGGUGGUCCCCC
rnacentral:piRNA from 1 species